GCGGCCAUGGUUUAGUGGUAGAACGCGUCCUUGCCAAGGACGAGACGGGAGUUCGAUUCUCCCUAGCCGCACCA
rnacentral:tRNA from 2 species